rfam:Trichobilharzia regenti genome assembly, scaffold: TRE_scaffold0135538
GUACUGAUGAAGAGUUCCAAACUAGGAUGAAACAGCUGUCCAGUAC